ACGGGUGAGUAAUAUAUAGAUAACGUACCUCUUAGUCUGGGAUAGCCAUUGGAAACGAUGAUUAAUACUAGAUACUCCUUCUAAUUUCAAGAUUAGUCGGGAAAGUUUUUUCGCUAAGAGAUCGGUCUAUAUCCCAUCAGCUUGUUGGUGAGGUAAUGGCUCACCAAGGCAAUGACGGGUAGCGGGUUUGAGAGGAUGAUCCGCCACACUGGUACUGAGACACGGACCAGACUCC
rnacentral:rRNA from 1 species